rnacentral:rRNA from 1 species
AGUCGAGCGGACAGAAGGGAGCUUGCUCCCGGAUGUUAGCGGCGGACGGGUGAGUAACACGUGGGUAACCUGCCUGUAAGACUGGGAUAACUCCGGGAAACCGGAGCUAAUACCGGAUAGUUCCUUGAACCGCAUGGUUCAAGGAUGAAAGACGGUUUCGGCUGUCACUUACAGAUGGACCCGCGGCGCAUUAGCUAGUUGGUGGGGUAAUGGCUCACCAAGGCGACGAUGCGUAGCCGACCUGAGAGGGUGAUCGGCCACACUGGGACUGAGACACGGCCCAGACUCCUACGGGAGGCAGCAGUAGGGAAUCUUCCGCAAUGGACGAAAGUCUGACGGAGCAACGCCGCGUGAGUGAUGAAGGUUUUCGGAUCGUAAAGCUCUGUUGUUAGGGAAGAACAAGUGCGAGAGUAACUGCUCGCACCUUGACGGUACCUAACCAGAAAGCCACGGCUAACUACGUGCCAGCAGCCGCGGUAAUACGUAGGUGGCAAGCGUUGUCCGGAAUUAUUGGGCGUAAAGGGCUCGCAGGCGGUUUCUUAAGUCUGAUGUGAAAGCCCCCGGCUCAACCGGGGAGGGUCAUUGGAAACUGGGAAACUUGAGUGCAGAAGAGGAGAGUGGAAUUCCACGUGUAGCGGUGAAAUGCGUAGAGAUGUGGAGGAACACCAGUGGCGAAGGCGACUCUCUGGUCUGUAACUGACGCUGAGGAGCGAAAGCGUGGGGAGCGAACAGGAUUAGAUACCCUGGUAGUCCACGCCGUAAACGAUGAGUGCUAAGUGUUAGGGGGUUUCCGCCCCUUAGUGCUGCAGCUAACGCAUUA